UACGUAGGGUGCAAGCGUUGUCCGGAAUUAUUGGGCGUAAAGAGCUCGUAGGCGGUUUGUCGCGUCUGGUGUGAAAAUCCAGGGCUUAACCCUGGACCUGCAUCGGGUACGGGCAGACUAGAGUGCGGUAGGGGAGAUCGGAAUUCCCGGUGUAGCGGUGAAAUGCGCAGAUAUCAGGAGGAACACCGGUGGCGAAGGCGGAUCUCUGGGCCGUAACUGACGCUGAGGAGCGAAAGCAUGGGGAGCGAACAGG
rnacentral:rRNA from 1 species